rnacentral:tRNA from 1 species
GUUUUUGUGGUGUAAUGGUCAGCACACUUGGCGUAUAUUGGAGAAGUUCGAGGUUCGAGUCCCGGCGAAGACA